UACCAGACUCCUACGGGAGGCAGCAGUGAGGAAUAUUGGUCAAUGGUCGGGAGACUGAACCAGCCAAGCCGCGUGAGGGAGGAAGGUCCAGAGUAUCGUAAACCUCUUUUGUCAGGGAACAAAGACUGGGACGCGUCCCCGGAUGAGUGUACCUGAAGAAAAAGCAUCGGCUAGCUCCGUGCCAGCAGCCGCGGUAAUACGGAGGAUGCGAGCGUUAUCCGGAUUUAUUGGGUUUAAAGGGUGCGUAGGCGGAAUGCCAAGUCAGCGGUAAAAUCGCGGGGCUCAACCUCGCUCCGCCGUUGAAACUGGCGUUCUUGAGUGGGCGAGAAGUACGCGGAAUGCGCGGUGUAGCGGUGAAAUGCAUAGAUAUCGCGCAGAACUCCGAUUGCGAAGGCAGCGUACCGGCGCCAGACUGACGCUGAGGCACGAAAGCGUGGGGAUCGAACAGGAUUAGAUACCCGGGUA
rnacentral:rRNA from 1 species